rnacentral:rRNA from 1 species
AACGAACGCUGGCGGCAUGCCUAACACAUGCAAGUCGAACGAACCCUUCGGGGUUAGUGGCGCACGGGUGCGUAACGCGUGGGAAUCUGCCCUUUGCUUCGGAAUAACUCAGGGAAACUUGUGCUAAUACCGGAUGAUGUCUUCGGACCAAAGAUUUAUCGGCAAGGGAUGAGCCCGCGUAGGAUUAGGUAGUUGGUGGGGUAAAGGCCUACCAAGCCGACGAUCCUUAGCUGGUCUGAGAGGAUGAUCAGCCACACUGGGACUGAGACACGGCCCAGACUCCUACGGGAGGCAGCAGUGGGGAAUAUUGGACAAUGGGCGCAAGCCUGAUCCAGCACUGCCGCGUGAGUGAUGAAGGCCCUCGGGUCGUAAAGCUCUUUUACCAGGGAUGAUAAUGACAGUACCUGGAGAAUAAGCUCCGGCUAACUCCGUG